rnacentral:rRNA from 1 species
UAUGUUAAUAGCAUACUCAUUUGACGUUAGCUGCAGAAGAAGCACCGGCUAACUCCGUGCCAGCAGCCGCGGUAAGUACGGAGGGUGCGAGCGUUAAUCGGAAUUACUAGGGCGUAAAGCGCAUGCAGGUGGUUUGUUAAGUCAGAUGUGAAAGCCCGGGGCUCAACCUCGGAAUUGCAUUUGAAACUGGCAAACUAGAGUACUGUAGGAGGGGGUAGAAUUUCAGGUGUAGCGGUGAAAUGCGUAGAGAUCUGAAGGAAUACCGGUGGCGAAGGCGGCCCCCCUGGACAGAUACUGACACUCAGAUGCGAAAGCGUGGGGAGCAAACAGGAUUAGAUACCCUGGUAG